ACGGGUGAGUAACACAUCGGAACGUGCCCUAUCGUGGGGGAUAACGAAUCGAAAGAUUCGCUAAUACCGCAUACGACCUGAGGGUGAAAGCGGGGGAUCGCAAGACCUCGCGCGAUUGGAGCGGCCGAUGUCGGAUUAGCUAGUUGGUGAGGUAAAGGCUCACCAAGGCGACGAUCCGUAGCUGGUCUGAGAGGACGACCAGCCACACUGGGACUGAGACACGGCCCAGACUCCUACGGGAGGCAGCAGUGGGGAAUUUUGGACAAUGGGGGCAACCCUGAUCCAGCCAUUCCGCGUGAGUGAAGAAGGCCUUCGGGUUGUAAAGCUCUUUCGGCAGGAACGAAACGGUGGAGGCUAAUACCUUUCAUCAAUGACGGUACCUGAAGAAGAAGCACCGGCUAACUACGUGCCAGCAGCCGCGGUAAUACGUAGGGUGCGAGCGUUAAUCGGAAUUACUGGGCGUAAAGCGUGCGCAGGCGGCUUUGUAAGACAGGUGUGAAAUCCCCGGGCUUAACCUGGGAACUGCGCUUGUGACUGCAAGGCUUGAGUGUGGCAGAGGGGGGUGGAAUUCCACGUGUAGCAGUGAAA
rnacentral:rRNA from 1 species